GGGGAUGUGGCUCAAGUGGUAGCAUGCUCACCUGGCAUGUGAGGGGUGCUGGGUUCCAUCCUCAGCACCACA
rnacentral:tRNA from 1 species